AGGUAGUAAUUUUUAAUAAAACCUAUUUAUAAUGACGGCAUCUAAUCUAAUUAGAGGAACUUGUCUAUUAAUUGAUAAUCCACAUUAUUUUUCACUUUUUUUCAAAAUUUAUAUACCGCCAUCAAAAGAAUUAAUUACAAAAUAUUAUUCUUAAUAAUAAUUAAAAAGUUAGGUCAAGGUGUAGUUUAUAUAUAAGAUUAUAUGAGUUACUUUAAAUAACAUUUAAGAAAUAAAAUAAAUAUAUUUUAAGAAAAAGGAUUUAAUAUUAAUAUAAAAAAAUUUUUCAAUAUAAUAAGAUAUAAAUGUGU
rnacentral:rRNA from 1 species